AUACAUAUUAGUAAGGAAUUAAAUGAGGAAGAAAUAAUAAAGAAUACUAGUGUAGUAACCCGUGCGUUGCGGGUAGAUACUAUUAAAGUAAAUUUAGUGUCUAACUAAUAUAUCAAAAAUUUAUUAUUAUUUUAAAAAUUAAAAUAAUCCAAGCAUAUUGGCUUCUUGUAAAAGUAUAUUAAUUUGCUAAAGUUGAUUAGUAACAAAAUGUUCAU
rnacentral:lncRNA from 1 species